rnacentral:rRNA from 1 species
GACGAACGCUGGCGGCGUGCUUAACGCAUGCAAGUCGAGCGGUGAAGCGCCUUCCUUUUUGGUGGGAGUGGAUGAGUGGCGAACGGGUGAGUAACACGUGAGUAACCUGCCCCCUUCUUCUGGAUAACCGCAUGAAAGUGUGGCUAAUACGGGAUAUUCUGGGUCUGUCGCAUGAUGGGUCUGGGAAAGAUAUUGUUUCGGUGGGGGAUGGGCUCGCGGCCUAUCAGCUUGUUGGUGGGGUGAUGGCCUACCAAGGCGGUGACGGGUAGCCGGCCUGAGAGGGUGGACGGUCACACUGGGACUGAGACACGGCCCAGACUCCUACGGGAGGCAGCAGUGGGGAAUAUUGCACAAUGGGCGCAAGCCUGAUGCAGCGACGCCGCGUGAGGGAUGGAGGCCUUCGGGUUGUGAACCUCUUUCGCCAGUGAAGCAGGCCUGCCUCGUUUGUGGGUGGGUUGACGGUAGCUGGAUAAGAAGCGCCGGCUAACUACGUG